rnacentral:rRNA from 1 species
GGGGCUAGCGUUGCUCGGAAUCACUGGGCGUAAAGGGUGCGUAGGCGGGUCUUUAAGUCAGGGGGGAAAUCCUGGAGCUCAACUCCAGAACUGCCUUUGAUACUGAGGAUCUUGAGUUCGGGAGAGGUGAGUGGAACUGCGAGUGUAGAGGUGAAAUUCGUAGAUAUUCGCAAGAACACCAGUGGCGAAGGCGGCUCACUGGCCCGACACUGACGCUGAGGCACGAAAGCGUGGGGAGCAAACAGG